GACGAACGCUGGCGGCGUGCCUAAUACAUGCAAGUCGAACGAACUCUGGUAUUGAUUGGUGCUUGCAUCAUGAUUUACAUUUGAGUGAGUGGCGAACUGGUGAGUAACACGUGGGAAACCUGCCCAGAAGCGGGGGAUAACACCUGGAAACAGAUGCUAAUACCGCAUAACAACUUGGACCGCAUGGUCCGAGUUUGAAAGAUGGCUUCGGCUAUCACUUUUGGAUGGUCCCGCGGCGUAUUAGCUAGAUGGUGAGGUAACGGCUCACCAUGGCAAUGAUACGUAGCCGACCUGAGAGGGUAAUCGGCCACAUUGGGACUGAGACACGGCCCAAACUCCUACGGGAGGCAGCAGUAGGGAAUCUUCCACAAUGGACGAAAGUCUGAUGGAGCAACGCCGCGUGAGUGAAGAAGGGUUUCGGCUCGUAAAACUCUGUUGUUAAAGAAGAACAUAUCUGAGAGUAACUGUUCAGGUAUUGACGGUAUUUAACCAGAAAGCCACGGCUAACUACGUGCCAGCAGCCGCGGUAAUACGUAGGUGGCAAGCGUUGUCCGGAUUUAUUGGGCGUAAAGCGAGCGCAGGCGGUUUUUUAAGUCUGAUGUGAAAGCCUUCGGCUCAACCGAAGAAGUGCAUCGGAAACUGGGGGAACUUGAGUGCAGAAGAGGACAGUGGAACUCCAUGUGUAGCGGUGAAAUGCGUAGAUAUAUGGAAGAACACCAGUGGCGAAGGCGGCUGUCUGGUCUGUAACUGACGCUGAGGCUCGAAAGUAUGGGUAGCAAACAGGAUUAGAUACCCUGGUAGUCCAUACCGUAAACGAUGAAUGCUAAGUGUUGGAGGGUUUCCGCCCUUCAGUGCUGCAGCUAACGCAUUAAGCAUUCCGCCUGGGGAGUACGGCCGCAAGGCUGAAACUCAAAGGAAUUGACGGGGGCCCGCACAAGCGGUGGAGCAUGUGGUUUAAUUCGAAGCUACGCGAAGAACCUUACCAGGUCUUGACAUACUAUGCAAAUCUAAGAGAUUAGACGUUCCCUUCGGGGACAUGGAUACAGGUGGUGCAUGGUUGUCGUCAGCUCGUGUCGUGAGAUGUUGGGUUAAGUCCCGCAACGAGCGCAACCCUUAUUAUCAGUUGCCAGCAUUAAGUUGGGCACUCUGGUGAGACUGCCGGUGACAAACCGGAGGAAGGUGGGGAUGACGUCGAAUCAUCAUGCCCCUUAUGACCUGGGCUACACACGUGCUACAAUGGAUGGUACAACGAGUUGCGAACUCGCGAGAGUAAGCUAAUCUCUUAAAGCCAUUCUCAGUUCGGAUUGUAGGCUGCAACUCGCCUACAUGAAGUCGGAAUCGCUAGUAAUCGCGGAUCAGCAUGCCGCGGUGAAUACGUUCCCGGGCCUUGUACACACCGCCCGUCACACCAUGAGAGUUUGUAACACCCAAAGUCGGUGGGGUAACCUUUUAGGAACCAGCCGCCUAAGGUGGGACAGAUGAUUAGGGUG
rnacentral:rRNA from 1 species